UAGGGAAUCUUCCGCAAUGGACGCAAGUCUGACGGAGCAACGCCGCGUGAGUGAAGAAGGUUUUCGGAUCGUAAAACUCUGUUGUUAGAGAAGAACAAGUGCUAGAGUAACUGUUAGCGCCUUGACGGUAUCUAACCAGAAAGCCACGGCUAACUACGUGCCAGCAGCCGCGGUAAUACGUAGGUGGCAAGCGUUGUCCGGAUUUAUUGGGCGUAAAGCGAGCGCAGGCGGUUCCUUAAGUCUGAUGUGAAAGCCCCCGGCUCAACCGGGGAGGGUCAUUGGAAACUGGGGAACUUGAGUGCAGAAGAGGAGAGUGGAAUUCCAUGUGUAGCGGUGAAAUGCGUAGAUAUAUGGAGGAACACACCGGUGGCGAAGGCGACUCUCUGGUCUGUAACUGACGCUGAGGCUCGAAAGAGCGGGUAGCCAACCAGGAUUAGAUACCCUGGUAGUCCACGCCGUAAACGAUGAGUGCUAAGUGUUGGAGGGUUUCCGCCCUUCAGUGCUGCAGUUAACGCAUUAAGCACUCCGCCUGGGGAGUACGACCGCAAGGUUG
rnacentral:rRNA from 1 species